GCGUCCGUAGCUCAGCUGGAUAGAGUACCUGGCUACGAACCAGGCGGUCAGAGGUUCGAAUCCU
rnacentral:tRNA from 1 species